ensembl:lncRNA
GAGGUGGACUGAUCCUCUCUCUCGCCGCCCCCCAUUUCCCUCCCCGGCUCUGGGAAACAGGCCAGAAUGGGAGACUUGGGAAAGAGGAACCCUCACAAAUGUCCACAAAAAACUUCCUGUCUGUGCGGAGCUGCCAGAAUGGCAAUGAGUUCCUCUGACAUGCUCUCUGCAUUCCCGCCCACCACUGGACUCUGGCCAACGAGGUGGGGAAAGCUGCCAAGGCAGAGAGAAGCCUGAGGCUUGCACAACACAACACACGGCGUCCUACCAGCCAGACAGCUAGGCAGACUGGCACCAAAAUGGCAACAACAGUGACAGAAUCCGGGGGGGUGAAGAUCGUCACAGAGGUCGUCCCGCAGACCGACCCCCGGGCUGCACAGCUGGACUCAACGGCACCACAGCCCAGCUCGGCCCAGGUCAAAGGCUUCAGGAAGGCACAGCCCAAGGCGCUGGGGGCCAUACAGAUCGUAUCUGGUUUCAUUCAGAUCUCCUUUGGGAUUGCCUUGAUGAUAACUGAAUCCCCAGCCCCAGCCCUCACCGUGGCCAGCGGAGUCUACUUCUGGAUUGGCUUGCUGCUCGUGUCCUCAGGAUCUGUGCUGGUGGAGGCUGAGAGAAAAGAAAGCAUCCGGCUGGUGAAAGUCUGCUACAUUAUCAGCGGCCUGGUCAUCCUGGCCACCCUGACAGCUGUGAUCAUUCACAGCGUGGAGAUCAGCCAAGAAAUCCCGUGGUGCAACAUACAUGAGGGCGGCAAAAUGACCCCGCUGAACUGCUCCCAAUCUGUCUACAUUCUGAGUCAUGGGAUUAACUCGAUAUUCAUCCUGCUGUGCCUGCUGGAGCUAUGCACGGCCAUCGCCGCCUUGGUGUAUGGACACAAGGCCUUGAAACAGCAGGACUACACGCAGAUGGUGCUGUGAUGGAGCAGAGGCCGGCUUUGCUCCUCCCACCCCCAGGUGCACUGAGAACAUGAUGGAGAUUUCCUGCAUUGGAGCCACAGCGACAUGGACCCUUGGCCACUUCUUCACCUUCCCAGGCAGGACGGCAGAGGGAGCAAACUCUGAGCCCCAACAUCUCCUGCAGCCCACCCUACCCCCCCCCCACACUCUUCUGUGUCUAGGGGAUAGGGGCAAAUGCUGAGCCAGACACCACUAUUCCUGAGCCCCCAACUGAGAGAUGAGAGCAGCUUUAAUGCUCAAAGUAUCCGCUGACUUUCCCCACAAACUCUCCUGUCUGUAACCUACUGCAGCCCAUGACCUCUCUCAGGACCCUCCUCACAGAAUCCCCUCGUGGACUCUGACCCCUGAAUUCCCCCCCCCCGAAAUUAGGAGGCAGGAGACUCUGACUUUCUGCACCCCAAAACCCUCCCCUGAUUCCUAAACGCUCCAGCCUGUAUGGGGACGGUGAAAACAAACUGACCCACACACACCUUCCCUGGCCCCUCAAACUCGCCAGUCAGUAAUGGGAGAGGAGCUGGAAUGAGACUGAACCCAGGCCUCCCUCUCCCCUCAAAUCCUCCUAUGAUCCCUGGAACUCUCUGCAACCAGAGCACAAGACAGUGAACUCCAAAGCCAUCCUUCCGUCCUGCUCACGCCUCUCCCCCAAUUCCACAAACCCUCCUGUCUGCACAGGCAAACAAGACGGAUGGGGAAAACAGCGGGAGUCAACAGGAUUAUGGAGUAGAAGUUGAUCCAUCCCUUUUUCUUGGUCUUUGCCCCCUGGUCCCCUCACACAACUUUACUGCACCAAGGCAGAGAGUGGGGGUCUGUUUAAUUUUUUUUAUUUGUGUUGCAGUAAAGGAGUGCUGUAAGCAAUGGGCUGUGGAUAAAAGGUAACAGAUUCGGUAACCAGAUAUAAACACUUCUAUUACGUGAUGGAACAUACAAGGCAGCGUGUGAUAUAUUUAAAAAAAAAAAACCUAGAGACAUGACAUCCUGAUUGUCCCAGAACAGAGCAGUGAUACCAUGAUCUCCAUGUAAAUGCCACAUUCAGCCCUCAGUAACUCCUGAUGUCUUGGGCUUCUACCAAGAACUUGGCCCCUCUGUCUCCUGAAAAUCCUCACUCGUUCUCCUUUCAUGUUGUAUUAUCCCAUCUAGAUCACAUGUUUUAUGGACCAGCCUUUAGCACUUGACUUCUUUGCUGAUUUCCAGGUCCUUAGAAUGAUUUCUUCAGCCAUUGCUGAUGCUCUCAAACAACAUAUUUCUGAGGGGAAGUCAAAUCCUUAGCAGCCGUCAGGACUUGUAGAAUAAAGCGCUUAGGACCACCA